rnacentral:rRNA from 1 species
GACGUAGGGGGCGAGCGUUGUCCGGAUUUAUUGGGCGUAAAGCGCGCGUAGGUGGCUUCGUAAGUCCGUUGUGAAAGUCAAAGGCUCAACCUUUGAAAGCCGGUGGAUACUGUGGGGCUAGAGUACGGAAGAGGCGAGUGGAAUUCCUGGUGUAGCGGUGGAAUGCGCAGAUAUCAGGAGGAACACCAAUAGCGAAGGCAGCUCGCUGGGACGUUACUGACACUGAGGCGCGAAAGCGUGGGGAGCAACGGG